rnacentral:rRNA from 1 species
UACAGAGGUCUCAAGCGUUGUUUCGGAUUCAUUGGGCGUAAAGGGUGCGUAGGCGGCGCGGUAAGUCGGGUGUGAAAUCUCGGAGCUUAACUCCGAAACUGCAUUCGAUACUGCCGUGCUUGAGGACUGGAGAGGAGACUGGAAUUUACGGUGUAGCGGUGAAAUGCGUAGAUAUCGUAAGGAAGACCAGUGGCGAAGGCGGGUCUCUGGACAGUUCCUGACGCUGAGGCACGAAGGCCAGGGGAGCAAACGGG